rnacentral:sRNA from 1 species
GUCUACCCCCAUGACCCCUCCUAGAUGGCUACAUUGACUUCAGGUGGAGAGAAGCCAAACAAAGACUUGGAGAGCUGCAGUGAUGACGACAACCAGGGGCCCAAGUCCCCAAAGAUGUGAGACUUCAUUUUAGCUCUUGGGGAAUGUGGGAGGAGAUGUCCUCAGAUGGCAAGAGAAAGGGCUAAAUCUAAUGCUUGACUGGGGGCUUCUUGGGGGUGGGUGGAACUGUGUUGUACUAAUCUUUGUAUCCCUAGUACCUCAAAAAGUGCCAGGUCCUGAACAAGAACUCAGUGUUGAAGGAAUGUUUUAGAAGGAGGAGAGGUCAAGCCCUUCCACCAGGUCUGUUUGUAACUGCCGAUCUCCCCUAACAGUCUGACUGAUGAGAUGCUGCUCCAAGCCUGUGAGGGGCGAACAGCACACAAGGCUGCCCGUCUUGGGAUCACGAUGAAGGCCAAACUUGCUCGCCUAGAGGCCCAGGAGCAGGCCUUCCUGGCUCGUCUCAAAGGCCAGGACCCUGGGGCCCCUCAACCGCAGUCAGAGAGCAAGCCCCCC